rnacentral:rRNA from 1 species
UGGGGAAUUUUGGACAAUGGGCGAAAGCCUGAUCCAGCAAUGCCGCGUGUGUGAAGAAGGCCUUCGGGUUGUAAAGCACUUUUGUCCGGAAAGAAAUCCUUGGCUCUAAUACAGUCGGGGGAUGACGGUACCGGAAGAAUAAGCACCGGCUAACUACGUGCCAGCAGCCGCGGUAAUACGUAGGGUGCAAGCGUUAAUCGGAAUUACUGGGCGUAAAGCGUGCGCAGGCGGUUUGCUAAGACCGAUGUGAAAUCCCCGGGCUCAACCUGGGAACUGCAUUGGUGACUGGCAGGCUAGAGUAUGGCAGAGGGGGGUAGAAUUCCACGUGUAGCAGUGAAAUGCGUAGAGAUGUGGAGGAAUACCGAUGGCGAAGGCAGCCCCCUGGGCCAAAUACUGACGCUCAUGCACGAAAGCGUGGGGAGCAAACAGGGUUAGAUACCCUGGUAGUCCACGCCCUAAACGAUGUCAACUAGUUGUUGGGGAUUCAUUUCCUUAGUAACGUAGCUAACGCGUGAAGUUGACCGCCUGGGGAGUACGGUCGCAAGAUUAAAACUCAAAUGAAUUGACGGGGUCAUAGCUGUUUCCU